CCGGGCGUCACCCAGGAGAACAGUGUCGGUCUUCACGGACGCAGCCCGAGCUCUCGCCCCGGGCCUGGUUAGCUGGGCGCUCAGCCAGGCCGGCAUCUGCUGGGCCCAGUCAGCACCGUUUCGACUGUGUGGUUCUCAGCAUCCGACUGUCGCACAGAACACAGCAAGCGCCUGAGUGUUUGGGCACUUAUUAUGGGCAGCCGUCUAUUCAAGGGACAAGCGUGGUCAUGACAGGAUUCCGAGUGUGUCAGGACUGACCUGACGAGAGUGGAGAGCCGCGGCUUCUAUUAGCUGCUCGAAGGUUUUGCGCAGUGAGAGCCGUCCCUCCCGCACAAUCGUUAUGAAGUGGCAGCCUGCACGUCUGCCAGGGGCUCAGGGGACGGAAGGCGGAGACCCAAGUGCCUUGGAAGGGACUGUCCACUCUCCAAAACGGCGGUGGAGUCCCUGUGCCUUCUCAGGGCUCUGCACUGGCCCCAACAUCUGUGAAUGGACGGAGUCUGAGCGUGAGAAGAGCGAUCACGUCGGAGGCGGCCCGUGGUCGCUUCACCCAGCGUGUCAUCCACGCACUCGAUAACGCGAGGAGCCCGGAGCCUGAAGCACUGACCCUUCACAGGAACAAAAUGAGAAAUCGCAGCAGCUGAGCCAAUGGUGUAGAAGGCCUCUGUGUUAAAUGCUGGGAGAGGCUGGGAACAACAGGACAAAAGCUGAGAAGGGACACGAGCACAGAGGACAGCCACGGGAAGGGCCUGGCAGAUGCGCUCCAGCCGGGAACCCCUGUUGCCACAAAGGGCACAGACCCCACUGGGAGACACUGGGUUUUGGGGGGUUUUUUUUAGAUUUUUUUUUUUUUUUAUGUGGACUAUUUUUAAAGUCUUCAUUGACUUUGUUACAAUGCUGCAUGUGUUUUAUGUUUUGGUUUUUUGGCCGUGAGGCAUGUGGGACCUUAGCUCCCCGACCAGGGAUCGAACCCGCACCCCCUGCAUUGGAAGGCGAAGUCUCAACCACUGGACCGCCAGGAAAGUCCCGACACUGGGUUUUAAGACAAAUCCAAAGACGUCCCUUAAUAUACCCUGGGGGCUGUGUCCAAGGUGGAAGUAGUUACUGGAUCUGAGUCAUGGUUGCCACUUGAGGGGAGGAGGGGAGGCUAAAAACCAUUCCCACCUUCGACGGAGACCCUCCAUCACCACCAUCCCCUACGGUCCCCGAACAUCACUGGGGGACCCCGGCCUGCCCGUCGGGGACAUCACCCUCCUCAACUCAGCAUGUGCUCCAAGGCGUGGAUCUCCCUGAGGAUGGAUUACUGCCGUGCACCACUGGGGUGACGUGGUCCUCGGCCCAACUAGAAGCUCCAGGAAGGAAAAUGACAGAUGGUUUUCAACUUCUGUUUCAAGUUUAUGGAAAAACUUUGCUGUAAUAAACAUAAGAACUGGUCCCCCUACAGAGAAGUGGAAGUGGUACGAGGCCAGGUGAGGGGUCCCAGGGCCGCUGCCCCAGACACCGCCUGGCCGGUUCACGCUGCCUCAGGUCGCAGCGAGGAUGUCGGGUCGGUGACGGCUCUGCUUUAAACCGCCGCCCCCGGCACCACCUGUCCCUCUCCGGCUUUUCCUCCACAGCCCACGCAACCACCUAAUGCACUUUGCAUUUUGCUUGUCUGUUUUGCCUCCUCGAAUUAAGUGUCAUGAAACCUGCUUACAGGGAUUCUGUUUGCCACCACGUGACCCAGUGGGAUCAACAGUACCCGACAAGUAUGGGGUACAACAGUAGACGUUUGUUGAGUGAAUGAAUAAAAGAUGGGGGAUGUAGGCAAACCGUGAGUGAGAGCCUGCUUUGCGACACGACUGCCCAGUUGGUUUUAUACUUCAUCAUUUUCUCCCAACUGCACCGCGGGAGCAGACUCCGGUCAGAAAACAGUUUUCAAGUGGGACUGUCUUCUAGUGUAUUUUUCACUGGUUUCUAGUUGCCUCUUUACCAAAAGCCUUGUUUUUGAAAGCUAAUCUCUAAAUGAUCAGGUUAAAAUAAAAAGGCCUCUCCAGUUCUUAAAAACGAAAAAGCAGAAAAUACUUUAUUCCAAAAGAAAGAGAUUUUUAAAAGACGUUUUUAAAGAAAAAGACAAGUUAACUACUAAUGCAAAUGUCUGUCACCGUUUCUGAAUUUUCCUUCUCCGAGGCUAGUACUCCAGCCAAGCUUUCGCAGGAUGUGUUCAGAGCCCUUGGCCCACAAGAAUCUGGCCUCGCUCUUCCUCCCGAGGGGGCUUCUCAAGUCUUCCAAGCCAGGCAGUAAGAAUGGUUACAAGGCUGCUGAGAGCCGUGGGCCCACAGGGUCCUGGGCUGGCGCCCACUGGCAUUUCCAGGGAGAACCCCAGUGCAAGGGGUUUCGGCUGGCGUCCCAGCAGCAAGCAGGGACGGCUGAGCGGGCUAAGCUUUCCAAAGACCAGACGUGACACCAGAAGCCGUCAUGUGUUCCCCAGAAGGAGGCGAGAUGAGCAGAUCAUCCUCGCCCUGCCGGGGCCGCACACCCCUGGGGCUCGGCCGAUAACGGCGGCAUCUGUGCUGAGCGCAGCAUGUCUCACCCUCAGCGGGGGGGGACCCCGUCCCGGCACCUCCAGUCACCCCGCUCCGGGCCGCAGGGGAGCGCGGCUCACCACACGCAGGCCCCGACCCUCUCGGGCCCCAUCCAGAGCCCCAGCGGCUGCCUCUGUUGCGCAGUCCAGGCGGUCCUGAGGCCAAGGCCUGGCUCGAGCGGGUCGGGCAGGAGGUUCAGAUGAAGGACCUGGCCAGAGUCACCAUGUGAUCCACGCCACACGCCACAUCCACAGGCUCCCCAGGCAUCGUCACCUGAACAGACAAGACCCAGCACACCGUGAGGAGGGAUGGCCUGGCGGUGGCCGAACAAGGGCCUGACCCUGGCUCUGCUCUGGAGAUUCUAGACGCAGAAAGCUGGUGCGAGCGUAGUGUCUCCUCAGGGAGCAACUUCGAAGACGGCGCACCUGCACCUGCACCUGCACCUCCCCCUCAGCCCCUGCCAGGACGCUGACGCUGCUCUUCUGACCGGACCCCAAUCCUGCCGUCCCUCCCCAGUGGCAGCGCGCAGCGGGGCAGCGUGACAGCUGGAGAGGGAUCUGUAACAGCCUGCGGAGUUUACUGAGCUUUGGAAGGAAAGGCCUCGUCCAGAUGGCCUGCCCUAAAAGCCCAGAGGCAGCAACGUCAACCGUUCAGAGACAAGUCCAUUAGGGUCUCCCGGCCACAAGGCAAACGGAUGCUAGUAACCAAGUCGUGCUACUCACCCGUCCCUAAACAAACGCCUUCAGCAAAACCUGUUACAGAAAUCACUGAACAAACAUGCAGCGGUGCCCUCAGCUCAUCGCAAAGGCCCAGAGCUGCAGAAAGCGUUCCAGGCUGGCCAUAGAAGCAGAAGAAAACGUGCUGCCUGGGCUGACCAGGCCAGGUGAGCUCCUAGCAACCUCCCCGGGCCACGAGAGCACCUUUAUUGACCUCCCCCAGGAAAGGGCCACGCUCCGCGCUGACCUGCGGCCGAGCUGUCACACUUAGGCACCUCUGUCCUUGUUCCCCAAGGGCUGUGACCAUCAGAACCCAAAGCAGAGGGAGCCACCUCGCCUUGGCUGACUCGCCGGGACGAUGGUCGUGGCUGACGCCGGCCCCAGGAGCCUCCCUGGGGAGCAGCAGGUGGCUCCCGAGGCCCCAGCCCCCCCCCCAAACUGCCUCUCAGUGCAGCCUCUGAACUGAGUCCAAGAGAAGGCUGCCCUCAGCCACGUUUUAUUUGUGGCCUCAUCAGGGUUAAAAGGAGUUUCUAUUCUAAACCAGUUUACACUCACAUUGUUGCAAAGGCAAACAGUUCCAGAAAACGAACCAUAUUUGGCCUGAGUGACUCUGAAAAGUUUCAGCAGAAUCAGUGUAGGAACAGCUCUCUGCACAAGGACAAGUUCCCAAGACACAACCCCCCCCAGGUGAAGCACAGACGACGGCAGAGGAGGAGCGCUGGACCAGCUGUGAUCCGGCCACCGGACUUGCCGUGUCCCCACUCGGCUGCGCCCAGAAGCCAGGCCGCACCCCGGAGGGGAGCCGCUCGGCCUGCGAGGAGGCCCAGCCCCUGCGGCGCGCCCUCCCCUGGGGCGUCAGAACUGCCGGGGCCUGUGGCUCCUGAAGCAGCCAGUGAGACAACAGAACAGACUGGAGAAAGGUCCAACUACCCAACAAGAGACUAACCUUUAAGGAAUCCAACCUAGUUGAUCGAAAACCUGGUUCCUGUCACCACCACUCUCCCAGAGCCCCAGCCUCGCAUCUUGGAGCCGGCACGGACCUCAGCGCCAUCCUCCCGACCAAAAGGUGACACGUGGGUGAAGGAGCUCCACAGACACACAAGGGGAGACAAUGGUGUGGGGCAUGAAAGCAGCCGUCACGGGAACAGACCAGAGUGCCCUUUCCCUGAUGGCAUGGAGGUUGGGAACGACACUUCAGAGGGACGUUCAGCGCAGGGGUCCGGCUUGACCAACGGGGCAUCCGCCCCCAGGCCUGCCACCCCACCACAGAGGCCAAGCCUGGCCCGGCCACUUGGACAACGAAAACGCUCUCAAACCUGAUUUCACAGCUGAUCUUCGCUCUAAUUGGGAGGACAUGAAGGCAGAGAAAGCACCGGAGUCAAGGCCUGCCGAGCUCAGGGGAGCCAGCAGCCAAGGGGAGGGCUGAGAGAAAGAGCCCCUAAAAUACCACACUUUCUUUCCAGGCUCCAAUGAGAUCGCCAAGAACUCGGCCCCUUGAAGAGGCAGCCGUAGCACAGCCCCGGCUGCAGAGGACCUCGUGGGGUCGUACCUGUGUGGAGUCCGUGACCGAGGCCAGCUGCAGGUACUCGGAGUUCCCCCACCCGAAGAGGCUGCCAUCGACCGACACAGCCAGGCAGCAGUCCCCGUAGGUGGCCACCUGGACCACGUUCACUCCGGCAAGGUCUCCAGCCAGCUUGGUGGGCGCGCUGGUGAUAUCGUAGUGACCCAGACCUGGAACAAUGGAAAACUGUGUUACUUACUUUUAAUUGUUUAUUCUUUUAACAAACACUUGCAUUGACCUACUAUGUGUCAAACACAGUUUUAAGCACUUUGCAAACAUCAACUCAAAAUCCUAAUCUGUUACUCUACAUGCUGUACAACUUCCUUCUCCAUGUUCUCUCAGAAGAGGGAAAAAAUCAUAGUAAUUGUUUACUUUUAAAACCCUUGAUGGGACUUCCCUGGUGUUCCAGUGGUUAAGACUCUGCGCUCCCAAUGCAGGGGGCCGGAGUUCGAUCCCUGGUCAGGGAACUAAGAUCCCACAUGCCACAACUAAAAGAUCCCGCGUGCAGCAACGAAGAUCCCUCGUGCCGCAACUAAGACCCGGCACAGCCUAAAUAAAUAAAUAAAUAGAAUUUCAAUAAACAAACAAACAAAUAAAUAAAUAAAACCCUUGAUA